UCAUCCUCUCCCACUCUUACACUCUUUUCCCUCUCUCUCUCUAGAAAGAAAGAAAGAAAGAAGAAGGAAAGGAGAAGGAAAAGAAAGGAAAAAGAGAAGGAAGAAGGAAGGAGAAGAAGACCAAGAAGAGGAAGAUCAUCUUCUUCCUCCUCUCCCUCAACCUUGGAGAAGCUUUUGGAGGAAGCGACGGUUCGUCAAUUCGUUGAGCGGGUGCGACGUUCCGGCUGAAACAAGUGCUAAAAGGUCCGUUUUGGCCGAGGAGCCGAGGCGGCGUGCAAAGACCGCGGAGACAAGUUUUCUAACCUUGCGGCGUUACCAAAAGGUACUAGUUCGAGUGUCCCGACCGAGCGGGAGGAUCGCGGCAAGGGCAUAGCGCCCUAGCGGUAUCAGUUGAUAGUUUUACCUUUCCUACUUGCAUUAGCUCUAUACCCUGUACUUUUGUUUAUAUCUUGAGAGUAGAUCUUGUAUAGGGUGAGGUUUGAGAGCAUAUGAUGUAUUUAUAUUUUGGAGAAAAAGAAUGCAAGUUGUAUCGAUGCUUAAAGUUUAAUGAAAUUGAAAGAGCUUAAACAA